UACGGAGGGGGCUAGCGUUGUUCGGAAUUACUGGGCGUAAAGCGCACGUAGGCGGCUUUGUAAGUUAGAGGUGAAAGCCCGGAGCUCAACUCCGGAACUGCCUUUAAGACUGCAUCGCUUGAACGUCGGAGAGGUAAGUGGAAUUCCGAGUGUAGAGGUGAAAUUCGUAGAUAUUCGGAAGAACACCAGUGGCGAAGGCGACUUACUGGACGACUGUUGAGCGCUGAGGUGACGAAAGCGUGGGGAGCAAACAGG
rnacentral:rRNA from 1 species